UACAGAGGUCUCAAGCGUUGUUCGGAUUCAUUGGGCGUAAAGGGUGCGUAGGUGGCGUGGUAAGUCGGGUGUGAAAUUUCGGAGCUUAACUCCGAAACUGCAUUCGAUACUGCCGUGCUUGAGGACUGGAGAGGAGACUGGAAUUUACGGUGUAGCAGUGAAAUGCGUAGAUAUCGUAAGGAAGACCAGUGGCGAAGGCGGCUCUCUGGACAGUUCCUGACACUGAGGCACGAAGGCCAGGGGAGCAAACGGG
rnacentral:rRNA from 1 species